rnacentral:rRNA from 1 species
UACACAUGCAGUCGAACGGUAACAGGAAGCACUUGCUCUUUGCUGACAAGUGGCGUGACGGGUGAGUAAUGUCUGGGAAACUGCCUGAUGGAGGGGGAUAACUACUGGAAACGGUAGCUAAUACCGCAUAACGUCGCAAGACCAAAGAGGGGGACCUUCGGGCCUCUUGCCAUCGGAUGUGCCCAGAUGGGAUUAGCUAGUAGGUGGGGUAACGGCUCACCUAGGCGACGAUCCCUAGCUGGUCUGAGAGGAUGACCAGCCACACUGGAACUGAGACACGGUCCAGACUCCUACGGGAGGCAGCAGUGGGGAAUAUUGCACAAUGGGCGCAAGCCUGAUGCAGCCAUGCCGCGUGUAUGAAGAAGGCCUUCGGGUUGUAAAGUACUUUCAGCGGGGAGGAAGGUGUUGAGGUUAAUAACCUCAGCAAUUGACGUUACCCGCAGAAGAAGCACCGGCUAACUCCGUGCCAGCAGCCGCGGUAAUACGGAGGGUGCAAGCGUUAAUCGGAAUUACUGGGCGUAAAGCGCACGCAGGCGGUCUGUCAAGUCGGAUGUGAAAUCCCCGGGCUCAACCUGGGAACUGCAUUCGAAACUGGCAGGCUAGAGUCUUGUAGAGGGGGGUAGAAUUCCAGGUGUAGCGGUGAAAUGCGUANAGAUCUGGAGGAAUACCGGUGGCGAAGGCGGNCCCCUGGACAAAGACUGACGCUCAGGUGCGAAAGCGUGGGGANCAAACAGGGAUUAGAUACCCUGGUAGUCCACGCCGGUAAACNAUGGUCNACUUGGAAGGUUGUGCCCUUUGAGGCGUUGGCUUUCCCGGAGCCUAAACCCCGUUUAAAGUCCAACC